CACUGGUGUUCAAAUAUGAAUAAAAGGAGAAAAGGGCAAAAAAUACUAACGAAUAGAAAAAUAUUACCUUAAGCAUACAAAAGGGAUAUACCUAUAAUAUCGAGAUCAUCUUUUAUUCUUAUUCGAUAUCUUUGUAAUAAUUUCAUAAAAUAAGUAUACCUAUUACCACGUGACGGACAUACAACUAACAUGCAUCCUUGCUUUCAUCAAAAUAAUUAUAUAUACACACCCAUUUCAUCUCAAAAAUCACAUCAAAAUGAAUUAAACACUAUCAUUACUAUAGAAAGUUAAUUAUGCAUGUCCAGAAACCUUUCCAACUCGCUGUGUCCUGUGGUCAAAAUUAGGAAGAAAUGUUUCAUAGAGUUGUUAAUUUAUUGAUUGUAAAUUUACACAGCUGUGAUAAGGAGUGAUCAUAUUCACUGCCCUUGAGAAUUUAGGCAUAUCCUGAUGCAUGGUGCUUAACAGUUUACACUAUCAAAGAUUUAAUAAACAGACAUUAUUUUACAGAUCGCACACUCACUCCAAUUUUG
rnacentral:lncRNA from 1 species